CAAUAGCGUAUAUUAAAGCUGUUGCGGUUAAAAAGCUCGUAGUUGGAUUUCUGUCAAGGACAACUGGUCCGCCCUUCGGGUGAGCACAUAGUUUGGUCUUGGCAUCUUGUUGGAAACUGUUGCUGCACUUGGUUGUGUGGUGCAGCGUCCAGCACUUUCACUUUGAGGAAAUUGGAGUGUUUCAAGCAGGCACAUGCCUUUGGACACAGUAGCAUGGAAUAAUUAGAUUGGGCUUUUGCUCCAACUUGUCGGUUUCUGGAGCUGAGGUGAGAAUUAAUGGGGAUUGUUGGGGGCAUCCGAAUUUAGCCGUCAGAGGUGAAAUUCUUGGAUCUGCUAAAGACGGACAACUGCGAAAGCGUUUGCCCAGGAUGGUUUCAUUGA
rnacentral:rRNA from 1 species